rnacentral:rRNA from 1 species
GAUGAACGCUGGCGGCGUGCCUAACACAUGCAAGUCGAGCGAAGCGCUUUAAUUGGAUUCUUCGGAUGAAGAUUUUUGUGACUGAGCGGCGGACGGGUGAGUAACGCGUGGGCAACCUGCCUUACACAGGGGGAUAACAGUCAGAAAUGACUGCUAAUACCGCAUAAGACCGCAGGACCGCAUGGUCCGGUGGUAAAAACUCCGGUGGUGUAAGAUGGGCCCGCGUCUGAUUAGGUGGUUGGCGGGGUAACGGCCCACCAAGCCGACGAUCAGUAGCCGACCUGAGAGGGUGACCGGCCACAUUGGGACUGAGACACGGCCCAG